CAACAGGGAUUGCCCUAGUAACGGCGAGUGAAGCGGCAACAGCUCAAAUUUGAAAUCUGGCCUCGGCCCGAGUUGUAAUUUGCAGAGGAUGCUUCUGGCGCGGUGCCUUCCGAGUUCCCUGGAACGGGACGCCACAGAGGGUGAGAGCCCCGUAUGGUCGGACACCAAGCCUGUGUGAAGCUCCUUCGACGAGUCGAGUAGUUUGGGAAUGCUGCUCUAAAUGGGAGGUAAAUCUCUUCUAAAGCUAAAUACCGGCCAGAGACCGAUAGCGCACAAGUAGAGUGAUCGAAAGAUGAAAAGCACCUUGAAAAGGGGGUUAAAUAGUACGUGAAAUUGUUGAAAGGGAAGCACUUGUGACCAGACUUGGGCCGGGCGGCUCAUCAGGGGUUCUCCCCUGUGCACUCCGCCCGGCACAGGCCAGCAUCGGUUCUCGCGGGGGGAUAAGACCGCCGGGAACGUAGCACCCUCCGGGGUGUGUUAUAGCCCGGCGGACGAUACCCCCGCGGGGACCGAGGUCCGCGCUCCGCAAGGAUGCUG
rnacentral:rRNA from 1 species